rnacentral:rRNA from 1 species
GAUGAACGCUGGCGGCGUGCCUAAUACAUGCAAGUCGAGCGAACAGAUAAGGAGCUUGCUCCUUUGACGUUAGCGGCGGACGGGUGAGUAACACGUGGGUAACCUACCGAUAAGACUGGGAUAACUUCGGGAAACCGGAGCUAAUACCGGAUAACAUUUGGAACCGCAUGGUUCUAAAGUGAAAGAUGGUUUUGCUAUCACUUAUAGAUGGACCCGCGCCGUAUUAGCUAGUUGGUAAGGUAACGGCUUACCAAGGCGACGAUACGUAGCCGACCUGAGAGGGUGAUCGGCCUCACUGGAACUGAGACACGGCCCAGACUCCUACGGGAGGCAGCAGUAGGGAAUCUUCCGCAAUGGGCGAAAGCCUGACGGAGCAACGCCGCGUGAGUGAUGAAGGGUUUCGGCUCGUAAAACUCUGUUAUUAGGGAAGAACAAAUGUGUAAGUAACUGUGCACGUCUUGACGGUACCUAAUCAGAAAGCCACGGCUAACUACGUG